UGAACUCCAAAAUUGAGGAACA
rnacentral:snRNA from 1 species